CAGAGUCGUAAAACACUCCCAAACCCAUGUGAACUUACCUUUGUUGCCUCGGCAGGACCUACCCGGUAUCUACCCUGUAGUUACCCUGUAGCCUGCCGGUGGACCAUUAAACUCUUGUUAUUUUAUGGAAAUCUGAGCGUCUUAUUUAAUAAGUCA
rnacentral:misc_RNA from 1 species